GGACUACUAGGGUAUCUAAUCCCGUUUGCUCCCCUGGCCUUCGUGCCUCAGUGUCAGGAACUGUCCAGAGACCCGCCUUCGCCACUGGUCUUCCUCAUGAUCUCUACGCAUUUCACUGCUACACCAUGAAUUCCAGUCUCCUCUCCAGUCCUCAAGCACCGCAGUAUCGAAUGCAGUUUCGGAGUUAAGCUCCGAAAUUUCACACCCGACUUACAGCGCCACCUACGCACCCUUUACGCCCAAUGAAUCCGAACAACGCUUGAGACCUCUGUAUUACCGCGGCGGCUGGCAC
rnacentral:rRNA from 2 species